rnacentral:rRNA from 1 species
GCAACGCCGCGUGAAGGAAGAAGGCUUCGGUUGUAACUUCUUUUAAGGGGGUAAGGAGCAGAAGACGGUACCCCUUCGAAUAAGCCACGGCUAACUACGUGCC